rnacentral:tRNA from 1 species
GGGGGAUUAGCUCAGGUGGCUAGAGUGCCUGACUGGCAGUCAGGAGGUCAUGGGUUCGAGUCCCAUAUUCUCCACCA